UACGGAAGGGGCGAGCGUUGUUCGGAAUCACUGGGCGUAAAGCGCGCGUAGGCGGCUUUGCAAGUGCGGCGUGAAAGUCCUGGGCUCAACCUGGGGACGGCGCUGCGGACUGCAUGGCUGGAGUCCGGAAGAGGGUGGUGGAAUUCCGAGUGUAGAGGUGAAAUUCGUAGAUAUUCGGAGGAACACCGAUGGCGAAGGCAAUCCCCUGGGCCUGCACUGACGCUCAUGCACGAAAGCGUGGGAGCAAACAGG
rnacentral:rRNA from 1 species